rnacentral:piRNA from 1 species
UGAUAACACAGAGGUGAAGUCUAGAGC